UACGUAGGGUGCAAGCGUUGUCCGGAAUUAUUGGGCGUAAAGAGCUCGUAGGCGGUUUGUCGCGUCUGCUGUGAAAUCCCAGGGCUUAACCCUGGGCCUGCAGUGGGUACGGGCAAACUAGAGUGCGGUAGGGGAGACUGGAAUUCCUGGUGUAGCGGUGAAAUGCGCAGAUAUCAGGAGGAACACCAAUUGCGAAGGCAGCUCGCUGGGACGUUACUGACGCUGAGACGCGAAAGCGUGGGGAGCAAACGGG
rnacentral:rRNA from 1 species